CUGCUAGUAAUACAGUUCAUGUAAAUAAUCUAGUUACAGCUAAUCACGUGGCCACAAAGCCCCACUGGGAUUCAUAUUCCAUAAGAUUGCUCCCAUAUUCAUUCGAUGGUGUGUGGUAGGCUAGACAUGUGAAGCCCAUCGGAAAAAUCGAGGGGUAAAAGACCCAGACUCUACCCUUGGUAUUGUUCCUGAUUUCAAGAUAAACAUGAAGAUACGGAUUGGAUACUGGCGUAGCAGAAAACCAUGUGAAUAGAUUAAAGCCAC
rnacentral:lncRNA from 1 species